AGCCAGACUCCUACGGGAGGCAGCAGUAAGGGAUAUUGGUCAAUGGGGGAAACCCUGAACCAGCAACGCCGCGUGAGGGAAGACGGUUUUCGGAUUGUAAACCUCUGUCCUCUGUGAAGAUGAUGACGGUAGCAGAGGAGGAAGCUCCGGCUAACUACGUGCCAGCAGCCGCGGUAAUACGUAGGGAGCGAGCGUUGUCCGGAUUUACUGGGUGUAAAGGGUGCGUAGGCGGCUUGGCAAGUCAGUAGUGAAAGCCCGGGGCCCAACCCCGGGACUGCUCUUGGAACUGCGUGGCUGGAGUGCAGGAGGGGCAGGCGGAAUUCCUGGUGUAGCGGUGAAAUGCGUAGAUAUCAGGAGGAACACCGGUGGCGAAGGCGGCCUGCUGGACUGCAACUGACGUUGAGGCCCGAAAGCGUGGGGAGCAAACAGGAUUAGAUACCCCAGUA
rnacentral:rRNA from 1 species